GACGAACGCUGGCGGCGUGCUUAACACAUGCAAGUCGAACGGAAAGGCCCUGCUUUUGUGGGGUGCUCGAGUGGCGAACGGGUGAGUAACACGUGAGUAACCUGCCCUUGACUUUGGGAUAACUUCAGGAAACUGGGGCUAAUACCGGAUAGGAGCUCCCGCUGCAUGGUGGGGGUUGGAAAGUUUCGGCGGUUGGGGAUGGACUCGCGGCUUAUCAGCUUGUUGGUGGGGUAGUGGCUUACCACGGCUUUGACGGGUAGCCGGCCUGAGAGGGUGACCGGCCACAUUGGGACUGAGAUACGGCCCAGACUCCUACGGGAGGCAGCAGUGGGGAAUAUUGCCCAAUGGGCGGAAGCCUGAUGCAGCAACGCCGCGUGCGGGAUGACGGCCUUCGGGUUGUAAACCGCUUUCGCCUGUGACGAAGCGUGAGUGACGGUAAUGGGUAAAGAAGCACCGGCUAACUACGUG
rnacentral:rRNA from 1 species